GCGCCACCGUAGCCGUGAAGAGUUUUUGUGAAGGUGGUGAAGGAACUCACCUCGAUGGAGACAUAAACUCUGCAACUAAUGUUUCAUUAUCCAUACUGCUGGUCUCACUGAAGUCCAAGACUAUAUCUAUGCCUUUCUGCGUAUAGAUAUUCCCCCAUAGCGGGGUUUGAUGCGGCUAGAGGAGACCCAUUAGGAUGCUGUGAUGAUGUAAGUUCUACAUUCUAAGACUGUUUUUGACAACUUCUGGAGUCGGUAUUGUCUUGUGCACUUCAUGAGAGGAUGUUCUGUUCAAUUUACAAGUUUGGUUAUAAGAUUAAUGACCACGCCUUCGAGAGCUGGCCUGCAAACUGUUCUUGAUUUAAUGAAAAGGAAGCUUGUUCGGGUUCCCACAUGGUGGAAAAUGAGGUCGAAAGAAGCUUUUGUACAACAUUAUCUCUGCUCGUAUGAGUUCAAGAUCGAAGAGAUGCUAGAAACACAUCUUCCUAAUCCCCUCUUAGCCACUGUAUUCUAAUUCUAAAAUCUUUUGAUGCCAUGAGCAUACUAAAAAUCAGGACACUGAUCUAGAUAUCUCGAUUCUGUUCAAGUGUCAGAAAGAGUUGUAUUAGUCUGAAGCCUUUCUCAUAUGAUAACAAGUUUUACUUACAGAAAGGAUUGAGCUUCUACGCAUGGAUGUCUGCUUCCUUCUAGUAAGAUAUGUCAACAUUCUCUCAGCAUUUAUGAAAUAAAAC